CGCCUUCUACAACGACAAGGUCAGCAGAGGUGGAGGUGGGGGCUGUGGAGGGCGGAGGAGUUGAACUCUCGGAGCUCGCAGACCCGAGGCACACUCGGCCCCUACAGAAAUCCUGACCCCCGCCCGCUCCCCGCUCCUUCCCCUCCCCUCUCCCCUCUCCUCCGCCCUCCCUCUCCCAGCCGCAAAGGAGGCCCCAAAGCUCACACCUUUCAGGGCCCACCCCUCCCCUCCCCUCCCCCUCCCCCCCCCUCCCCCUCCCCUCCCCUCCCCUUCCCCUCCCCUCCCCUCCCUUACCUCACCCCGCCCCUCCCAAGUUCCCUCCUUCCUUCCUUCCCCUGAAAUCCGCUCCCGGAAACUCCCGCUUUUCUGGCCGCGCCCAGCCGGAGCUCCCUCCCCAUUCAGGAGGCGACCUCGGAUGCUCCCUCCUUUCUGGCCUUGCCCUUGCCCUCCCUCCCCGUGAUUCCGUUCUUCUCCUUGAGCCCUUGACUUUUUAUAAGGAGUGACCUGGAAGACCUCAGAGAAGAAAUCCUAAGAGUACAGAAGAUUGUUUUCCUUUCAGAGAUUAGAAAACUGAGACUCGAGACCAGACUCAAGUAACCAGACCAAGUCACGCAGCUGUUAAGUAACAUGCCAUGGUAACAAAGGGCCUUGUGCUCACUACAGCAGAGCAUCCUGUCUUUGUCCAACCCAGCCCAGAACAUCAGUCUCUGCAAAUAAAAGAUGUGGCCACUCGGCCGCCUGUCGGUACCCCCACCAGAACACUGAGAAAGGUUGAGGCCUCUCCAACUGGAACUGAACUAGGAGAGCAGCAGACAGGUCCCACCUCCUGGAGGAAGACUUCUAGAGAAGAGAGUCUAGAAGACUCCCUAACCUCUGACGCACCCCAGAUGAGCACCCUAGUCUGAGCCCAUCGUAUAAAUUCCUUCCUUCUUGCCAGUAACGAUUUAGGAAUGGGGUUAUACCCAGUGAGACUAAGAGGACACUUGCUGGGGGGCUUCUGGGAAAGGUUUUCUCACUCCUAGGAGAGAAUCACUGGAAGCGACAUGCCCAGUGGCUCUCUUCCUGGGAAUGUUGUCAAGUCUAGAUAUGUCCUGGACCUACUGAAGCUGGUGUGCUCCCAAGCUGAGAAUGGAGCCAACAGCAGGGAUGGCAGAGUGGAGAGCUGGAAGGAGUCUUUGUCCUUGAGGGCAUGAGUGCCCUGCCAUCCCUGGAGGCCACCCUAAUGCUGAACAAGGGAAAUUAAAUAUUGUCACUGCUGAAGCUAUUGAGAGUGGGCUUUCUGAUAUUUUGUGGUAGAAAGCAUCCUUACUAAUAUAACCAGGGCAGCAUUACGACUUUUGUGGGCCCCUUCCUACAGAACAAUUUCUUUUUUUUUUUUUUUUUUUUUGCGUUAUGCAGGCCUCUCACUGUUGUGGCCUCUCCCGUUGCGGAGCACAGGCUCCAGACGCGCAGG